UACGGAGGGUGCAAGCGUUAAUCGGAAUUACUGGGCGUAAAGCGCACGCAGGUGGCUGAGUCAGUCGAUUGUGAAAGCCCUGGGCUUAACCUGGGAAUUGCAGUCGAUACUACUCAGCUAGAGUAUGGGAGAGGGUAGUGGAAUUCCCGGUGUAGCGGUGAAAUGCGUAGAUAUCGGGGAGGAACAUCAGUGGCGAAAGGCGGCUACCUGGCCCAAUACUGACACUCAGGUGCGACAGCGUGGGGAGCAAACAGG
rnacentral:rRNA from 1 species